CAGCUGUAAACGAUGCAGACUAGGUGUUUGGACGGCCACGUGCCGUUCUAGUGCCGCAGGGAAGCUGUUAAGUCUGCCGCCUGGGGAGUACGAUCGCAAGGCUGAAACUUAAGGGAAUUGGCGGGGGAGCACAACAACGGGUGGAGCUUGCGGUUUAAUUGGAUUCAACGCCGGAAAUCUUACCGGGACCGACAGCAACAUGAAGGCCAAGCUGAAGACUUUGCCGGAUUAGCUGAGAGGUGGUGCAUGGCGUAGUCGUGU
rnacentral:rRNA from 1 species